rnacentral:rRNA from 1 species
AGAAUCAACGCUGGCGGCGUGCCUAACACAUGCAAGUCGAACGAGAAAGUGGAGCAAUCCAUGAGUAAAGUGGCGCACGGGUGAGUAACACGUGACUAACCUACCCUUGAGUGGGGAAUAACUUCGGGAAACCGAGGCUAAUACCGCAUAACACCUACGGGUCAAAGGAGCAAUUCGCUUAAGGAGGGGGUCGCGGCAGAUUAGUUAGUUGGCGGGGUAAUGGCCCACCAAGACAGUGAUCUGUAUCCGGCCUGAGAGGGCGCGACGGAACGACGACUAGGAACGUGAACACGGUCCAGACUCCUACGGGAGGCAGCAGUGGGAAUUUGCGCAAUGGGGGAAACCCUGACGCAGCAACGCCGCGUGGAGGAUGAAGUCUCUUGGGACGUAAACUCCUUUCGAUCGGGACGAUAAUGACGGUACCGAGAGAAGAAGCCCCGGCUAACUUCGUGCCAGCAGCCGC